CAAAUGGAAAAACUUUUGUUUGUAAGCUGAUGCCGCUGCCGCCGCUGCUGCUGCUGCGCAAGCGAGACGGAAAAUGGAGUAGCAAACGCAAAAUGUUGCAAUCAUGGCCAACGGACCCACCUUUGACUUGGGGACGACCCCAGCGAUGGCAUUUUAAAUGAUUUUUCGGUGCUGGGAAUCUGUGUGGCAUUUGUUUGGGGCGCCAGGCAGGCCAAGAAGUUGGCGCCAUAACUGAUGCUCGGUCUAGCGGAACGCAUUGCGAAUGGCCCGAGCCGCACUAUUUGAAAACUAUUCAUAACAUUUGUCCAACAAUAGAAAUGAUACUAGUUACAACUA